rnacentral:tRNA from 1 species
GUGGUGUAAUGGUAGAAUGCUCGCCUGCCACGCGGGCGGCCCGGGUUCGUUUCCCGGC